UACAUGGGGUGGCAAACGUUGCUCGGAAUCAUUGGGCGUAAAGCGCACGUAGGCGGUUCGUUAUGUCGGAUGUGAAAGCCCUCGGCUUAACCGGGGAAGUGCAUCCGAAACUGGCGAGCUUGAGUACUAAAGAGGGUCGCGGAAUUCCCGGUGUAGAGGUGAAAUUCGAUAGAUAUCGGGAGGAACACCAGCGGCGAAGGCGGCGACCUGGGUAGAUACUGACGCUGAGGUGCGAAAGCGUGGGGGAGCAACAGG
rnacentral:rRNA from 1 species